rnacentral:rRNA from 1 species
CCUACGGGCGGCUGCAGUGAGGAAUAUUGGUCAAUGGCCGUAAGGCUGAACCAGCCAAGCCGCGUGAAGGAAGACGGCCCUAUGGAUUGUAAACUUCUUUUGUCAGGGGACAAAAUCUGGCUCGAGCGCAUGACUGCGGGUACUUCAAGAAUAAGCACCGGCUAACUCCGUGCCAGCAGCCGCGGUAAUACGGAGGAUCCGGGCGUUAUCCGGAAUUAUUGGGUUUAAAGGGGGCGUAGGCGGGCGUGUAAGUCUGGCGUGAAAGUCCGGGGCUCAACCAUGGGAGUGCGGUGAAAACUGGCGGUCUUGAGUGGGCGAGAGGCAGGCGGAAUGCGGGGUGUAGCGGUGAAAUGCUUAGAUAUAGCGAAGAACUCCGAUUGCGAAGGCAGCAUGCCGGAGCGGAUCUGACGCUGAGGCACGAAAGCGUGGGUAUCGAACAGGAUUAGAUACCCUUGUAGUC